rnacentral:rRNA from 1 species
GACAGAGGGUGCAAACGUUGUUCGGAAUUACUGGGCGUAAAGCGAGUGUAGGCGGUCUGAUAAGUCGGGUGUGAAAGCCCUGGGCUCGACCCAGGAAGUGCACUCGAAACUGACAGGCUAGAGUAUCGGAGAGGUUGGUGGAAUUCUCGGUGUAGAGGUGAAAUUCGUAGAUAUCGAGAGGAACACCGGUGGCGAAGGCGGCCAACUGGACGAAUACUGACGCUCAUGCACGAAAGCGUGGGGAGCAAACAGG